GACAGUGAGAGAGGGAGACACAGAAUCCGAAGCAAGCCUCAGCGUUAAGUUUUAAGAGCUGCCACUCUGGGCUGUGACGUGAAGGGGGUUCCAUGGGGCUUCUAACCCAAACCCGGAUUGAUCUGCUCCCAUAAACCUUGACUCUGUGUCUCCCCUCCCUGCCUCGCUGCACCUGGUGACGUGGGCGUGCGGGGGUGCCACCUGGCUUUGGCUAGCUGCUUUCUCCACCUCUGAUCAACUUGGUGCCCUAGACCCUGGACAGUCAGGCCUGACUCACUUCCUGGGCCCCGUGAGGACUGGCCACAACCGCCGGAGGCCACAGUUCCAGCCUCUUCUUACAAUGGCCACCACCAUCUCUCCUGAAAGUGUCCUGCAGACUGAGACAGACAGUCAUCACUAACCAAG